GCAUACUCGCUUGUUUUGGGGAAGGAAACACACAGGCUUUAGAAGAGCAAGGCAGGAAAGGCCCUUCCAACAAGAAGUAGCUGGGCGGUCCGCGGUGUGGCAGUUCACCUUCACCUCACUGACCUCUGCUUCUUUCCACAGUCUUGACGGUACACCGAGCUCUGAGCAAUGAGCACCACGGAGCUGUUGCGGCCCCGGGAGGAGCUGAGAACGCGUGGGAGGUGUGUGUGAACGUGCAACGGAAUGAACGAAGCUCACAGAAGGAAGCGAGGCACAGAAGGGCACUUACGAGCACGCACACCAGAUGCACCUGCCGGCUAGCUCAUGUGGAAAGAGGUCCUUAGCCUCCGGGACGGAUGCCACGCCACUUGUGGGUCAAAGUCCAUCCGGGCUGAAGCCUGGGCAAGCUGCCCGAACCUUCCCCUCUCACUGAUCUAUCCUGCCCCAAUGCACACCCUGGAAAUUCUUGCAGCAGGCCACGGGUAUGAAAGAAGAGAGACUCAACAAAGUUAAAUUCCAGUGUGCGGCCCCAUGGGCUGAGACGUGUCACCCCUGUGAUUGUAAUGACACAACUGGAACCCUGGGUGCCAAGGCGAGAAGAGUUCAAAGCCCAUGGUGAUGUUAUCGCAUCUCAAGGAAGCACGUUAUUAUUCUUAUUAUUCCCGUCUACAGAUGAAAGGUGCACUGGGGAGACAGGUGGGCUGGCUUGUUCAAAGUCCCAGCUGGUGGGUGAAAGGCUGGGGAAGCAAAUUUGAAUGGGCAUUUCUCCUUCCUGGUGAUUAAGCUGCCUCUUGUGUUCCACGUUAAUUGGUCAUUAUGAAAAUAGUUGCGAGAUAAGAGGACCUACCUUCCAAAGCUUCUGUGGGCUCAGCUGACAAUGAAUAAGUAUGUCUAGGAAAGUAGAUACAUGUUUGUCUUUCUAUGUGAUCUGACCUGAGCAAGAGCCCAGCAGGCAGAAUUCAUUUACCAUUGAAACUUUACUCUGUCCUGGCUUCAGCUAGUCGAUAAAGGAGUAAUAUUUUGGGGUGGGGGUGGGGGUUGCUGUUUAGCCUGGGUUUUCCAACACAAUUUUCUCAGAAAUUUAGAGGUCACCUUAAUAGUGGUGAUGAUUCUGGGGCAUCUGGGUGGCUCAGUGGGUUAAAGUCUCUGCCUUCAGCUCAGGUCAUGAUCCCAGGGUCCUGGG